rnacentral:piRNA from 1 species
UGUGGCUGCGCGUUCUUGUGAU